UAUAGACCAAACCACACUUUACAAACGAUAUGUCCCUUGGCCGCCAUCUUUGGGGAAAAACCCAUAUAAUUCUCACAGUAGCCUUUGUAGUUUAGAGGGUUGUAACUUCGUCAUUUGACAUUAGAAAUCAGUUUCCGCUGAGAAUUUGGAUUGCCCCAAGUUGGGGCAACCCACACAUCGAAGGAAUAAAUUAAAUUCCGAGAGAUUUCUUCACAGGGCGCCCAAAUAUUUGGUUGCAUAAAGAAGGGAAAAGUUGUGUUUUUCCCUUUUGACUUUUGGGUUGACCCCGCAAAGGGGGACAACUUUUGCAAAGUGUGGAUUGGACUAUUUGAAAAAAACAGUUGCUGCAAGUGAUGUUAUUUUCGUAGAGAAUUUUUUUGGGACCAAGCCAUUAAAAGUACCAUAAUGCAUUGAUGAGGGCAACCUUUUUUUUAUUUUCACAUUGGUAGUAAUUUUAUAUAUAGAUAUAUAGUUAUUUUGUAGAGGCAGUUUGGCUAUUUUCCUGAACAGAGAAGUGUUGACAUGUACGUCUAGACAUAUUGACAAUCUCUUCCCAACGCAUGAGUUUAUCGAGAACAAAUAUGUUGAAGGAAAGAAAAAGGGAUGCAUUAUGACUGCAGUAUGCUGCUUCAUCUUCUUCCUAAAACUUCUUUAAACGCGAAAAAUGGGGUGGGGGGGGGGGGUUGUAGUGACUUAAUGUGAAAACAUUUCCCUGAUCAAUUGAGGUAUCUAUAUGUGUGCAUUUUUUUAAAAUUCCUAAAUGUACUGUAUUUAAUAUAAAUAUUGCUCAGGUUCAGACUUCCCCAAAUAUAUCUCGUGUAUUUAAGCCACUCCAUCAAACAUAUACACACAUGACACAACACCCCUAUACACGUGCAGCUGCCCCGCCAGACGGGGACAGUUUUCGGGAAAGAUCAAAGGAGGCGCUGGGUCCUGGGUGACUCGACUUUUAGAAAGGGGUGAGGGGGUGGAUUAACGAAACUGCAACGUUUGUAUCUUUUAUAAAUAAAAUAAAUUGUUUUUCCUUAAGAAUUAUUUUAAUUUAACGACUAUGUCAACUGCGAAAUGAUCUACUUGGUUUUAAUACAUACUUUCAAACCUGUGUGUCUCUUUACCCAUAUAGAUACUUCUACUGGUCAGUGAGAAGUUCCAUUUAUGGGAAUUGAUUUUAAUCAACUCUCCUAUGCAGUUACUCUGGCAAACCGAAAGUUAAACAGUGUUUGGACCUAAGCACAGAUCAUUACCGCUGACAAGACUUAGUUCUCGGAAAUAAUCGAUAAAUUUGCUGUAAUGAAUUCUUAAGCAUUGUUUUUCAAGGAAACCUACUCAUUGAUACCUUGAAAAUAGUCAGAUUGUCAAUGGUAGAAAACAAUUUAGACAUUUUUUUAGUAGCACAUGUAUGUAUUCCUACGCUAGAGUUUACAAUAGUAUCGUUCAACCAGACGUAAAUAUUCGACAAGCAGAGAAUUUCCCUAUCGGAGAUUAACGGAGACAGCCGAACGUCUGGUUGAACUAGAGUUUAAUAUUGCUUGGAUCCUUACAAUUUUUCUGAAAUAUUUCGAUUACUGAUACGUUCGUUGAUGGAAUUCUUAGUAUCUCUAAAUAUUUUUUAUACACAUGAUUCAUAUGGGGUUUUCUCGAAAUCCUUUUUGAGAGUCCGAGUUAUUAUAAAAAAUGUGCGUUAAUUAAAUAUAUAUAAGAAACCACUUACCAUGCAAAAAUACAUUAUCGUUGAUUCUAAAAUAAAUAAUAAUCGAUAAAAUUGAAUCACGGUAAACGCCUGGACGACGGUGCGGAUAGGGUCCCUCACAUGCCAGGUAGUUAUAUCUUUUAUUUAUUUAUCUUUUUAUCUAUGUCAUGAAAAAAAAACCAAUAAUUUUAAAUUCAAAAAAAUUGUCAGAUAAAUAUAUCGUAAAAUUUUUUAAUUUUAUCGAUAUUAUUAAAAAAAAAAAUAAAAGUAAAUAAAAUUGAAAUUUAUCUUUCUUUUUUUUUCAGAACGGCCAGCACAGCAGUGAGGUCACAAACAGUAUUACAACGACCAUGGAAAUAACAGUCAUUGCAUUAAACAAACCUUUGAUGUAUGUUAUCCUGGGAGGGACUGGUGUGGUGGUCUUGAUUUUUUCUGUGAUGAUUGUUUGUGCGAUCAAUAGAAGGUGUCUGAGGAGACGGGUGGACAUCGAGAUCGAGUCCCAGUCACCCGCCGAGUUUGACGCAGUUGUCAUGAGGGACUUUAAAAAUGAUUAACUUUCUUUAGUGAUAAUUCUGACGCUAUGUGUGAGGAGAAAAAUCCACGAUGUACCUAUUCAAGUUCGACCACCCCCAACACCAGUCAUGCCAGCUCCUCAACUAAGACCACUCCGCCGUUCAACAAGGCAGAGUCGCCAACCCAACAAACUGACUUAUUGAUUUCUCCAACCUCCUUUUACUAACGAUUAGACUAAAAAUGUUUGGUUUGAUGCCAGGCCGAUUAUAAUUCACCCAACCCCGAGAGCCCCUAUGUUUAGACGGGUAAGAAGGAGAAUAGAAUUUACAGAGACGGAGGAAGGUAAGCACUCCAUUUGAUUCACCGGCACGGAUGCAGGCGCCUGCAGACACGGUAAAUAUAUUUUAAAAUUCAUGAACAAAGAUAUAGAAAUCAAAACUAUAUAGUAGCAUACCUUGCAUGUCUGCUGGUGUCGUUGACAUUUGUUCUCAUCAAAAUAUUCAACGCUGCAGUUUUCAUAUUUAAAUAAU